CCAACUGAGGGCUGAUGAUAUCAGAUCUCUAACCAAGAAACAUCCUUUAGUGCCUUUGUUCUUGGUCUGAGCCUCUGCCACAAGUCUGGGACACCAGGAAAAAAUGCCUCUUUACUUUCUGUUGCACAGCCAUUUGCUCUGCUCUCUGUCAAAGAACUCAAAUCAAGACCCCUCGUGGUUCAAGGUGAGAAAUGCAGUCAAGAAUCCCACUGAUAUUGCCAGCACAUAAUUCAGAGAAACAAGCACUGGAAAGCUUUCAAGGAUGGAGGUCACCCAGCUCUUACACAUCGUUCCCACUGGACAUUAUUUCCAUGAGGUGUUGCAGCAGUUUUAAAACUAGACAUUCUCUCGUUGGCUGCUGAAAUGGUGCCUCUUCAUCAGCAACUUCUGUCUAGGAAUGCUGGCGGCUGUCACUACCACCAUUCUGAGUCCGGGUCCCAGCCUGGCUCCACAACCCCGCUCCCCGCGGCUCUGGAAUGUCGCAGCCUCUGAUAGGCACUCAGGGCGCUCUGCUGUGCGUCCGCUAUUUGUAGUCAUCGCAGCCUGAGCCUGCACCUGGACUGGCUGCCGCAGGACCAUUACAGAGCGCGCUCACUGCCUCCAGGGCCCGCCUCUGCUUCUGUGCAUGCUCCAUCAACUCUGAAGAAACCGAAAUUCAGAGAUAUAAUUAUUAAGAACUUCAAGAGACUGAAAGCAGGGGAUCCUUCUCAGCAUGAAGCCCUAAAUAACUGUGCAGGUCAUUUAGGAACUCAAGAAGCUGAUUCUGGAAAGGACUCUCAGGAUUCUGUAAAUGCACAUGACUUUGUGAUUUCACUUAAGCGACUCUGUCAGACUCAUCUUCCUGUAUCAUGAAAGCUAUUUUUCUGAUAUAUUUUUCAAGGAAUCAAUAUUUAAUGUUUGGGUAGAUGAGAAUAAGCCUACAAGACUAAGAAUGACCAGUUGGAAAUGGGAAAAGAUGCCACAGAAGCCAAGAGAAGAAAGAAUUUCAAGAAACAUAAAGUAACCAGUAGAGUCAAGUGACACCAAGAUGUCAUCAGUAAGAUCAGGAUUGAAAAAUUUCCAAAUAGAUAUAACAUGAUAUUAGAAAUAAUUUAUUUCAAAGGAGAAAUGCAGGCUGAAGCCAAAUCAGAAGUGCAUCGAUAACAAGUGGAGUUGAAAAAUGCUCUCCAGCAAUCUCCCUUACGCUGUUGCCUGAGGAUCAGUCACUAUGGUCCCUCUAAGACGACCCUCAGGAAUGACUGUGGGUGCAUGGGCACACGUGUGUGGUGGGGUGGGCAUCUGGUUCUUUGUAGAUGUUGCUUUCAUUGCUCUUCAUCCCUACUUAUCAUGGUUUAAUGAUAAUAACUACCAUGUACUGGGAACCUACAACAUGUUAGAGAUACCCUGUUAUCUCUAAUUCUGUAA